UCUCUGUGAUGUCUUGAUACAUGUUGCUUACCCUUCACUGUGCGCUCAAUAGAGUAGAAGGGAAAUGAAGAAACCUAUGGCUGAGAGA
rnacentral:snoRNA from 1 species